GCUCUAUAGAGAAACCUGUAGGGGCAGCUCUAUAGAGAAACCUGUAGGGGGAGCUCUAUAGAGAAACAUGUGAGCAAAAAGCGAGAAAACAGCGAAGAAAUUGCAAAAUUUACGUUGUGCCCCUUU